AAUAACUAACCAUUCACUUCCUUGUAAAGGAAAGAGUUCAAUAUACGCUGUUGAAAUGAAGAAUAUUACAUUUAACAUUUUAAGAUUGUCUCUUGUAUUAUUAUCAUUUGCAGAAAAAUCACACGGGUUAUACUUUGAACACUUGUUAUGUGAAAAUCGUCAAACAAAACUCAACUGUUCUGUCGGGAACUCAAUAGACGAUAUUAACAUUACAAUUCAUGGUGUAAAAGAUGCAAGGAGUACCACUGAUAACGUUCAAAAAGGAAAUGU